GAUGAAGAACGCAGCGAAAUGCGAUAAGUAAUGUGAAUUGCAGAAUUCAGUGAAUCAUCGAAUCUUUGAACGCAUCUUGCGCUCCUUGGUAUUCUGAGGAGCAUGCCUGUUUGAGUGUCAUUAAAUUCUCAACCGCACUGACUUUGAAUUGGUGUGGCUUGGAUUUGGGGGGAAAAUUGUUGUGGGCUUUUUUGUAUAGUCUGCUCCCCUGAAAUUGAUUAGCGGUACCUUUGUGGAACUGUCUACAGGUGUGAUAAUUAUCUACAUCCUAGACAUCUGCUGGAAUGCUGCUUUCUAAACCUUACUUGUAUUGACAAUCUUGACCUCAAAUCAGGUAGGACUACCCGCUGAACUUAAGCACAUCAAUAAGCGGAGGA
rnacentral:misc_RNA from 1 species